CGUAGGGUGCGAGCGUUAAUCGGAAUUACUGGGCGUAAAGUGUGCGCAGGCGGCCGAGCAAGUCGAGUGUGAAAGCCCCGGGCUUAACUUGGGAAUUGCGCUCGAAACUACUUGGCUGGAGUGUGGCAGAGGAAGGUGGAAUUCCACGUGUAGCGGUGAAAUGCGUAGAGAUGUGGAGGAACACCGAUGGCGAAGGCAGCCUUCUGGGCCAACACUGACGCUCAUGCACGAAAGCGUGGGGAGCAAACAGGAUUAGAUACCCUGGUAGUCCACGCCCUAAACGAUGAUGACUAGUUGUUGGGGAGUUAAAUCCCUUAGUAACGCAGCUAACGCGUGAAGUCAUCCGCCUGGGGAGUACGGUCGCAAGAUUA
rnacentral:rRNA from 1 species